UUGCAGAAGCGGAUUUGAAAAUGUAUGCGGAACUUCGUAAUUGCGGCUGCGGAAGCAGAGGUCUGUUGCAACACUAGUGCGUACUAUAACCACUCCUAUUCGUAAUAACCAAUAAUAGAUAAUGAUUAUGAAUAUUACUUUAAAAGCAUUUUCAUUAUUUUGGUAUUUUUUUCAUCUUUCACCUACAUUCUUCUUUUGUCAACAAAAGUAAGCCUGUUUACGUAAUACAUCAACGCUCCCUCAUAAAUAAAUUUCAUUCUUGCCUAGCACGAAUAAGAGAAUAAGUGAUUUAAAAUCAAUUUUGCAUUUUGCUUGGGAUUUUCAUCAAAAUGAUAGUAAUUUUUAACAUUCCAAACUUAUUUUACUAACGAAAAUGUUCCUGCUUUCGGUUUUUUCGAGUUGUUGAAAAUUUUGUGGAGAAUAAAGAUUAGUGUAAUCUCCUAUUUGUUCGUUUCUAGGAGUGAGAAAAAUAGCUAGGCCUAGCCAACCAAUUCCUACCAUUCGGUUCGUAGUUGACCACCCGUUUAUUGUAGCUCUGAAACAAAAAUACAACCUCCUUUUUGUUGGACGUGUUGCAAAACCAUAUAGAAACUGAUUGGAAUAGGUUUUGUGCUGUUAAGCAUUUCCUUUGACAUUCGAUUCAUCGUUAAUCAUCCCUUUAUCGUAGUUGUAAAAUACAGGAACUGCCCACUUUUUAUAGGACGUAUCACUAAUCCAUCUACAUAACUAAUGUAGAAUACAAGACUACGAUAUUAAAUUGUUUAUAAUUUUUUGUCGAUUUAUGAAAUAUACCUAUUAGUCAUAGCAGA